AACGAACGCUGGCGGCAUGCCUAACACAUGCAAGUCGAACGAGACCUUCGGGUCUAGUGGCGCACGGGUGCGUAACGCGUGGGAACCUGCCCUUAGGUUCGGAAUAACUCCCCGAAAGGGGUGCUAAUACCGGAUAAUGUCUUCGGACCAAAGAUUUAUCGCCUUUGGAUGGGCCCGCGUUGGAUUAGCUAGUUGGUAGGGUAAAAGCCUACCAAGGCGACGAUCCAUAGCUGGUCUGAGAGGAUGAUCAGCCACACUGGGACUGAGACACGGCCCAGACUCCUACGGGAGGCAGCAGUGGGGAAUAUUGGACAAGGGGCGAAAGCCUGAUCCAGCAAUGCCGCGGGAGUGAUGAAGGCCUUAGGGUUGUAAAGCUCUUUUACCCGGGAUGAUAAUGACAGUACCGGGAGAAUAAGCUCCGGCUAACUCCGUG
rnacentral:rRNA from 1 species